rnacentral:rRNA from 1 species
GGCUAAAACAGUCAGGAUGUUGGCUUAGAAGCAGCCAUCAUUUAAAGAAAGCGUAAUAGCUCACUGAUCGAGUCGUCCUGCGCGGAAGAUGUAACGGGGCUAAGCCAGUCACCGAAGCUGCGGAUAUGCGUAAGCAUAUGGUAGGAGAGCGUUCUGUAAGCCUGCGAAGGUGUCUUGUAAAGGAUGCUGGAGGUAUCAGAAGUGCGAAUGCUGACAUGAGUAGCGAUAAUGGGGGUGAAAAGCCCCCACGCCGUAAGCCCAAGGUUUCCUGUUCAACGUUCAUCGGAGCAGGGUGAGUCGGCCCCUAAGGCGAGGCAGAGAUGCGUAGCUGAUGGGAAGCAGGUUAAUAUUCCUGCACCGUCGUAUGAUGCGAUGGGGGGACGGAUCGCGGAAGGUUGUCUGACUGUUGGAAUAGUCAGUUUCUGUUUCAUAGAAGGUGCUUAGGCAAAUCCGGGCACGUAAUUCAAGGGGACGGGACGAAGGACUUAGGUCCUGUAGCAAUCGGAAGUGGUUCCAAGAAAAGCCUCUAAGCUUCAGUCAUACGAGACCGUACCGCAAACCGACACAGGUGGGCGAGAUGAGUAUUCUAAGGCGCUUGAGAGAACUCGGGAGAAGGAACUCGGCAAAUUGGUACCGUAACUUCGGGAAAAGGUACGCCUCGGUAGCUUGAAUGCUUUACUGCAUGAGGGCGAAAAGGUUGCAAUAAACUGGUGGCUGCGACUGUUUAAUAAAAACACAGCACUCUGCAAACACGAAAGUGGACGUAUAGGGUGUGACGCCUGCCCGGUGCUGGAAGAUUAAAUGAUGGGGUGCAAGC